rfam:Slackia heliotrinireducens DSM 20476, complete genome.
GGGGUGUUAGCUCAGUUGGUUAGAGCGCCGGCCUGUCACGUCGGAGGUCGCGAGUUCAAGUCUCGUACAUCCCG